UCAAUAUAUCUCCUCAUUUUUGGAUAAGAAACUAAUCUCUUUCGAGGUGUGUGGUUGCCUUUCCAAAUAAAUGUUGCUCUUAGGAAUCAAACUCUUAUCAUUUCGGUCAUUCUAGAAAUCUAGUAGGGUCUUACAUCACUAUAUUAACAAGUUGUUGGUAUACAAUGAUGUUAAUUAGAAGAAGGUGAUGUUGCCAUCUAUGAUAGUAGUAGGUGAAGACAAGCACAAGUGUUUGAUGAUAAAAAAAUGGUGGCGGGUUCAAAUGAGAAUGAUUGUACUGCAUGCAUGUUAAGGUACAAGAUCAUCAUUUUAGGUCUUCUCAUCACUUUGUCCAUUUUGGUGUUGCCAUUGGUAUUGCCUCCUCUUCCAGCACCACCUUUGAUUCUUCUUCUUGUUCCCGUUUUCAUCAUGUUCCUUCUCUUUCUCUUGGCCUUUUUACCUUCCUCCCUUCCCAACAUGUCUGCCUUUGGUUCUUGACGUGUGUAACAUGUAAAUUUGGAAAUGAAUAAUAAGCAAUGAAAUGUAAUGAGUUUAUAUCUUUCUAUGUAUUAAGAGUUACUUUGUUCAUACCUUGAGUUUUUCUUCAAUUAAUUAAAUAUCUUUGUCUUCCUCCUAUAAGAUCUAAUGAUAUACUAAUAUACUUAAUUAUUUUUUUCAAGUAGAAGUAACCAAGAGUUGUUGAAUUUCACCAUUACCUUGUAUUUACAUGCAAAAUCUUAGUGGUAGUGCGGUUUAAUUCACUUUUAUGUGUAGUUGCUCCUUCUAACUAAAGAUUGAGUGAGAUUUUAGACUAUUGUAUCAAUUUCUUAGUUCAAUUCAUAACCUUUAGUAUAUGAGGUAAUAACUUGAAAAUUCUACCCCCAUUAAAAUUAUAUUAAAUUGGAAUCGACAUAUUAUGAUCAUUAGUGUCUGCCCCAUAGGUUGUCUAGGUAAAACAGAAACACAAGCAUGCACUCACCACAGCCAUAUCCACUAAACUUUUCCCUAAACCAUGCAGCAUGAGGGUGUUCCUACCAACACAUUCAUGGGUACCAUCCCUAUGCCACAUCAGCCAUUUUCCUUGAAUCAUGAUUAAAAAAAGUAGAAAACAAAGACAGGAUUCUCUUAUAUCCACACCUUUCAUUCAAUAAAUCAACCCCACACUCCCCUUCUCCACAUUUAGACCCACCGUUGGCGGAAUCAUUACUUGUUCAUAUGAUGAUUUUAAGGCUUUUGGUCAUGAUUCAUGAAUCAAAAGAAUAAAUCCCUUUUUCAAUUCAAAUGGGUUUUCAAAAAAAUCUAAGUGUUGUUUGUUUAUAAGCAAAAUGAGUUACGAAGAGUAAAAUGGGUACUACAAGGAAAAUCGGUUUUAAAUCUAUCGACUUUUAUUAAUUCUUUAGAAACAUUAAGUAAAUUGGAAUAAUACUUGUUCCCCUAAUAUUCUAUUUUAAUAUUAGUAAAUUUCAAUUGCUAAAAGAUAUUAAAAAAGCUAACGGUAGGAAUAAUAUAGUAUUAUUCCUCAUCAAUCAGUAAGAGCAAACCAAUGCAUUUCACGCAAUUAGGCCAACCAUUUUACCAAGGUUUUGAAAUUAGGUUUAUGUUUUGAUAGACGAUGUCACAAUAUUAAGGUUCAAGGAGUCAUUGAAACUAUAUCAUGAUCACAGUGACUACAUUGUUCUCAUUUGCCGUGAUAAUUCAAAACUUAAGAUUUUUGAAGUAUAUGAUAGUCUAGGGGCAGGGGUGGAUCUUCCCUACAGCAGGUUGGGGCAACUGCCCCUCUCGAAUAUUUUUAAAAAUUAUAAUAUAAUAUUUCAUUGGUAUAUUUCAAAAUUCAAGAACAAAAGUAUAAUAUAUAUAUAUAUAUAUAUAUAUAUAUAUAUAUAACUUUGUCAUGAAGUGAUAUUGUAUAAAACUCAUACGUUGUUAGUGCAUAAAUUUUUUCUCCAAGAACAAUAUUUCUACACGACUUAUAGCACAAAAAAAAAUCAUUAGUCUCUUUAAACCUCUCACCCUCUAUGAAGCUUCACUCUCUUGAGCAUCACAUGAAACAUUUCCAUCCCAUGUCUGUCUGUCAUAUAGCUCCUGAUAACUCUCCAACUCAAACCUCAUUUAUUUUUCACCUUAAAAAUGUCAUAUUUACUCUUUGUAAUUUAUAUAUUAGGUUUCUUCAAUUGCUUUUUCCAUAGGCAUAUUAUCAUAUGCCUAUGAAAUAAUGACAUAAUUACUUACGAUUUGUUUGUUUCUUACAUCAAAUUUCAUUCAUUGAUGUUGUCAUUCUUUGCUAGUGAAUUAUUUUAUGAUUGACUAAUUUUAGUGGGGCUACUUCAUUCUCUAUAUUGCUCUUAAUUUUGUUAUCUCUUUAUAACUAUAAUUUUAUUUAAAAAAAUAUUUUUAUCAAUCUCAAAUAUACAUUAUUUUGAUUCUCUAUUUGAGAUGAUAGAAAAACUAACUUUAUGCUCAAAUUUUUAUUCUUCUGAGUUUAAGAUACAUAUAAUAUUUAUAAGAGAUAAGAAACUUAUUUGUGCUUAGGAAUAUUUGAAAUUUUUUAUAGAUUUAUUAUUUUAAAUUUUCUAUUAUAUUUAUUGGGAAUUUAAACAUAAGAAAAUACAUCAUUUUUACAUUUAAAAUUUAUAUAUAUUCUAAUGAUUCCAUAUAUUAUUUAUGUACAAAUUAUAUCUUUGCCCCCUCUAAAGUUGUGGUCAAGAUCUAUCAGUGUCUAGGGGUGAACAUGAUCCAAUCUUAUAUGCUCACCAAGUUUGACCCUAUUAUGAUUUGACCCAAAUAUGAUAGGUUUCAUCAAAUCUAGAAUUGAGUUCAGGUCCAGGACAUACGUGGUAAAGUCUGGUUAUCUCAUUCAAGCUUAUCUGAAUAUGUUGGAUUUAUGUAAUAUCUUAUCUAAAUCUUGGACUAAUUGUAUUCCAAUAAAAAUAUGUUGCUUUAUUUAGAAACUUAUUCGGAUGAGACUACCCAUAAUGGAUGAGCUUUUUAAAAGACAUGUCAUUCUUAGCAUUGCUGAAAUAAUGUAUGCACUUUGCAACAUUCAAGAUGAAACUAUAGAGCACCUUUUUUUAUCGUGUGAAUUUGCUUCUUCUGUCUGGAAAGGUGUUUAUUCUUGGUUACAAGUAUUUGUGCCAAACCCUUCAUCUAUUAUUGAAUCUUUGAAUAUGCAUGAUGCCCUUGUUCCUAAGGGGGAAAGAAUGAAGAUAUGGAGGAUGUUAUGGUUUACUGUUAUAUGGUAUAUCUGGAUUAUGAGAUUUAAUGUAAUUUUUUCAUAUAAGACUAUGAGUUUUGUUCACAUCAUGGAUUUGAUCUGGGCUAAAUCUUGGUGUUGGUUUCAAGCAAAGAUUGCUCAUUCGUCUUUAGAGUUUGUUAAUUGAUGUAACAAUCCUAAAUGUUACAUUUAUAUUUCCUCUAAAACGAUCAUUCUAUAAUCUUUCUUCUUAUAUUGAGUUAGCACCCCUUGUGCUUAUUUAAUACAUACUUUGCUUAUAAAAAAUAGAUAUAUAGAAUAUUUAGAUUUGUGUAAUGGACAAAUAUAACCCGACUCGGCUCAUGGUUAUUCAUUUAUCAUGUUUAAACGUGUCUAUUUAAUUAUGUAAAAAAUAAUGACUUCUAUUUAAAUCAAAGUAGAUAGGACAUUUUUGUUGUAACAAUUUAUCAAUUAAUAUAAUUUCAUACUUUUAAUCGUGUUUUUAAUUGUUUUUGCUAGUUAUUUAGGAACUUUUGAAUAAAUGUUUUAUUGCGACAAUAUGUAUAUCUUUUCAUAUAAUAUUGAUUUUCUAAUUCUUUUAUCAUAUGUCGAAUUACAUAUGCAUACCAAUAAGUAAUAUUAUUAAGAAUUUACCUAAUAAAAUAAGCAUUAUUUUUAAUCGAGUAUAAGGCCUAGUUCGAGUUCAAAAGCUAGCAAGGUCAACAUUUGUGAUUGGGUUCAAAAGUUUAAAAAAAUAACUAUCGACAUUUAGGGGCGAUUAAGAGACAUAUCCUACUUAACUUAUGUUCGCCGUGAUACUACACCCAUAACCACUAUUUAAAACCUUCUUUUAUGCCCUUUUCAUGUAAAAGACCUACAUGUUGGACAAAGUAAUUACACUUUGCUUAUGCAUUUAGUUUGAUCUUGUGUAUGUAACCACAUUGCUCAAAAUGGGGGAGUACCAUAUUUCAAGGAGUCACGUUUUUUUUGGGGGAGAUUAUUGGGAAUUUCAGGUGUAGGUUAUUUGGUGAAAAAUCACAUAUAGUUAAUUAUGAAUAAUUUGAUAACAUUGUAAAUAUAAUUUAAAAUCUAUGCGUGUAAAAAAAAUUUCAUUGUCGGAAUAUCAUCCACAUUAAUUUGUACUAUUUUUAUUUAAAAAUUAAUUAUAAUAAUAUAUGAACGGUGAAUAAUUUGUUGACAGUGUAAAAAAUACUUAUACUAUAUGUAUUUACAUAUUAAAUUAUUAUAAGUAAUUGAUCGAAUAACUAAAUGUUUUAAAGUUUGAGGUCCAACUAUAGUGUUAGAUCCGCUCACUAUGAUGUUUCUUUAUUAUUUGACUCAUUAUGAGUACAACUUUUGGGCUCCUCAAUCCUAAUGCAAUUUGAAUCAUUUAAAACCAAGCUAAAAGUAUAACUCUUAUAUAUGAUACUUAUUCUCGGUAUAUCAGUAUUAUUAAAUUCGAACGGAUUAAUAACUCGGUCAGGUACUGAGUUAAUAAAUCAUUGGUUGAACUAGUAGGUUAAUGGUUGAACCGAUUAACUCGGUUUGUAUUAAAAAUUCUAAAAAAUUCAUAAUAUUACGUAACAAUAUUUAAUAGUUGUAUAUUCAAAAUUUAAAAACAUUAUAAUGCUUAAUCAAACAACAACAAAAGAACAUUUUACUACUAUAAAAUAACACAAGUAAGUUGAUAACGUCAUCAAACAACGUAUGAACUAUGUUUUAACUACAACAAAGACAUACAAUAAGUUUAAAAUUUAAUUAAACAAUGAAGAUUUUGUUAUAAUGUAAACUAACAAAUGACAAACAUAACAAAUAAGUUAAAAGUACUUAUUAAAAUGACAUCGAUUUGACUGUUUUUAAAAAAAUAUUUUUUGAUUGACUCGGCCGGUCCAACCGGUCCGACCACCCAAGUCACUAGUUUUAGGCUUAAACUGAUCGAGUCAACCUAAUUUGAUACAAAACCGGUUAGAUGAGAUGCUCGAACCAGUUAGAUGUCCAAUUAAUGGUUAAACCAGUCAGACUGGCCGGUUCGAACCGAAUUUUAUAACACUCCUAUACACGAAAUAACUGAAAUAAUAUGUAACUGUUAAUUCAAAUUUUAGAUUUUAGAAAACAUUUAUAGUACAAAAAUGUAUAUAAAGUAUACUUCUUUUUUAUAUUAUGAAAGGGCUCAUAAAAAAAGUUUGAUUAAAAAUAAAUAAAGAACGUUAACCACUAGUGCCUAUAGUUUACCUAAUAUCAUAUUUAGUUUAGCAAUACAAUUACAUUAAAUUUAAUCCCAAUGUAUUUCAAAAUAUUUACCUUUGAAACAUGUUCUUCUGGCUUUUAAAUAUUAAGGGAUUAUUGAACACUUUCCCAUAUAACAUCAUGAAUGACAAAUUAGAUAAUACAAUUCAUUUUUUAUAUGAGAUUAAAAAAUUUAUAUAAGACUAGCUAACCUUCUUAUUAAAUGUUUUAAUCAUUUUGGUUAUAUUUGAUCCGGAAGUAAAUUUUAGUCUUGAAAUUGCAAAAAAAAAAACAAUAAAAUUUGUCUCUUUAGUUAUAUAUAAAGAUGUUUAAACUUUAAACACAGGGUCAAGGGUAUCUUAGAUUUCAUGAAAAAGAUAAACACGGCGUUAGUAUGAGUUUAAAUAUCUUUUCUUGGCCCACGGUUUCCUCUAAUUCUUUGGUUAACCGUUUCAUUACCACUUUUCAUGUAUUGCAUACCAUUGGCAUAAGCAUCUUUAGUAACAUGGAUUGGUGCAUGCAUCCAUUAAUUCUUCCCCCUUAAACUAAUUACCUUCAAUAAUUUGAUAUUUUCAUUAAUGACCAAUUUGAGGUUCUAGUUGUUAUGUAAACAGCCUUUAUUAGCUUAGGCUUUAUUAGCUUAGCUGGUAACCCUCAAGUAUGACACUUAAGCAUAGGGCAUAGGACAUAGGACAUUCAUCUUUGGAAUAUAGGCACUAGGUAGCACGCUUCACAUGCGCAAGGAAACAAAAAUCAACUCAAAUUAACUUAGCUUUGUCUAUGUACUAGUUUAAUGUAACAUGUUGUAAAUAUCUGUAGUAUAAAGAGACUGACUUUUUUAGUUGGAGUUGUUUUUUCCAUUCGCAAGAUUUAAACUUUGAAUUAUAACAUUAUGGAAAUCAAACAUGAAAUGUAUAUCACUAGAAUCAAUCACGUCUUGGUAUAUAUAUAUUAAUCACGUCCUGCUAGAUUAAAGGAUUCGAAGUCUUGGUUUCUAACUCCAACAUAUAGCACCUUUAAACUAACAUGGAUUAGGUUUAUCCAGAAUUACUUUUUAGUUUUGAGAAUCUAGCAGGCUAAUGCUUCAAUUAUUAUAAUCUUAAUUAUAUUUUACUGCAUAUAAAAUCUAAUUAUAUAUGGGCAUAAGGAUUUUGCAGUUGUAAUAAUAAUUGAUGAAUAGUGAUGGGUGAACAUGAGCAUUAAUAAUUGAGUACAUUAUUCUAAACAGUGACUAGGUCCCUAUUCCUCACCAAUCUCCCAAUUAUCUCUUUGGUUUAGGCACGAAAAUAGAAUAAAAAGAGACGAAGGAAAAAUUAUAGUAGAAAAUGAUAUAAUUUUCUGGUUAUUUUGUAUGAAGGAAAAGAGAGAGAGAAAAGAAUAGAUUGUAUAAAAAACAUUGCACCAAUUCGGAGGCGUCAAAUUUACCAUUUUCAAAUAUUUAGGAACUUAGCACGGUUUAAAACAUGACUAAUAGGAAUAUGAUUUUUUUAACUUUAAGGAGAUUAGGCUUAAUGAUAGCAACUCAGUGGUAUAAUGACUAUUUAUUCCUAAGGUCAUGAAUUUGAGUCGCGAAAGGCUCCCCUUGGAGGGAAUAAAAUAUAUUCAUGGGUCUGGGAGGUCGCAUGUCAGAAUUAGGAUGUUACAUUGAGUAGAAGAUAAUAUAUUUCCUAACAAGUCAGAUAGACCAAAUUAUUUCGAGCCAAAUGAUACUCUAGAAAUUAUGACAUACUCAUGUAAAUGAUAAAAUUGUUUGUUAGAUCAUUAAAAAGAGACCUCCUCCAUGUUGUCGUAUAAUUUCUCUUCUAAGUAAGGCUUAUGUAGUUGACAAUGUGUCAUGGAAUAGUCUCAAUUCGAAAACGAUGACCUUCAAAUGUGUCUUUGAUUUUCAGGGAUGUUGGUGGUGUUAUUGUGGUGUGCUCCAUUUGGUGGGCAUGUUUUAUAGGAGGUUGUAAGUUGAUUUGACUAAGUAAAGAUUGGAUUUAUCAUGGAUCCACACCCACGAGUCUAGAGUAUGUCUAUCGAAGGUGUGAUUUUGAAUGUCUUACAAAAGGGUAUCUAUUGACUCUAGUUCCCAAGUGAAAUAUUUUCUUCGCCAAGUUAGAUUCCAAUCCCAUAUCUAAUAUCUUAUGAGUGCAUAAUUGCACUGGCUUAAUUUGAAAAGUAUAUUGUACAUUGUCUUAAGGUUUCCAGACCCUAACCAAUUAUCUUUCCAAAAUCUAAUAUUCGCCUCAUCCUCGACUUUCCUCAUAAUGUCAUAUUAGAACCACUACAUAGUGUCCAUCCUCCUCUAACAACUAGGUUGUAGAUGUCCGGGAUCCAAAGUGAAUAUUUAUGAGGAGAAAUCGAGGCUCCUUCCUCGGAGUGGUUCAUAAUUAUUGGAGCACAGUGAGCAUAGUAACUUGCCCACCAAGCAACAUGUUAAUACAUCACAUGGUCCUAGAAAAAACACAAAAGAUUUGUCUCAUGGUCCAACACGAGUCAUUGGCCCAAAUAGCACGGUCAGAGUGUUAUGCACCACAACGCAUCAGGUUCAAGACCCUGACCGAGAAAGAACAGUCAGAAUAGCUCAAGUCACGCCAAGCAUCAGGCACAGGUCUCUCGGUCAGUUGCUCGAGUCAGACGCAUGUCCUUCGGUCAAGUUGAUCAACAUGAUGUAUCAAGCCAGACUGGAUGGGGCGCACCAAAUCAGCUUGAUCAAUCGCAUCAGCAUUACACGGUCAGAGAUGCAAUCUUGGCGCACCAAAUGCCAAGCUUGGCACAUCAUAUGUCUAUCUUGGCGCACCAACAUUAUAUGGUCAGACUUGUGACCUUGGCCAAGCUUGGCGCACCAAAUCCAUCACUGAGUGUGGAGCAUCCUUGAUCAGAAUUUACACAUGUGUGCUAUUAAUUGACACUUGUAUUUUACAUAGACAUUUUUUGUAUAUUCUAGCGGGGUCUCUAUGAUGAGUUAGUUAGGGUUGUUUGUUAGCUUGUUAGUUAGGGGUUUUACCACUUUUAAUUAGGUUGUCUAUUCUACAAGCAACCACAAUGUUGAACCAAUUUGUAUAUAAGUAAGCCUUUGGCUUAUGAAAAGAUUAACACAAAUAUAAUAAAAUAGAUGAGGUAUAUUGAGUCACAAAUUCACAAUAAUAAUUGCAUGCCCAUAUUUAGACCUUAGUACUCUACACUAUAGGCUAUCACUUUCAGAUUGAAUACUCUAUUUCCAUUUCUCAAAAAGAGCUAGAUUAAAGAUGUGGAUAUUCUUUCAUCCCAAACUCUCUUUCGGAUAGAAAUAUUACUUAUUCUCCUACUCGUUUUUAUUUAUAUUAUUGAAAUACUUUGUUGGUUAAAAAAAGAAAACCCCUUUUUCUUUUAUUUAUAUUAUUGAAAUACUUCGGAUUUUUAUUUAAACACGAAAAUGAAAAUUCAUGAAGCUCACAUAUUAUUUUCUUUCCUCCCUUUUUGUUAUGCAACCAAAGAGAUGAAUAUUAUUUAUUCUUUCAUCUUCCUUCCCCCUUUCAUUCGUCGGUGACCAAACAAAAGCCUAAAGGAAUUAAGGAAUCAAAGAAAGAAAAAAGUGUAUUAGAAAGGUAAAAAUUCACUUCAAAUUCAUCACAUUCUCUUAGAAAAUUGCCCUUCAGCCCUUCUGCAUUCUUAACGUUCACAAUCUAAUUAAUAUAAUAUAUAAAAGAAGUAUCUUAUUUAAUUAUGUCAUUUGGAUGUUGUAAUUGACAUUUAGGCAUGCUAUGGAAGACUUUGGAAAAGUCUGAAUUGAAGAGCACUCAUGUUAAGGUGAGUUUACUACAGAAAAAAAAAUGUUCUGACAUUUCGCAACUUUUUGACACCGGCCAUAUAGACUUUUAUAUCAUAGAGCACAUAAUUUAAAAAGUAGUAGAUUGAUCUCAAAAUACUAAUUANNNNNNNNNNNNNNNNNNNNNNNNNNNNNNNNNNNNNNNNNNNNNNNNNNNNNNNNNNNNNNNNNNNNNNNNNNNNNNNNNNNNNNNNNNNNNNNNNNNNUAUAUAUAUAUUAUUUUGUAAUAUCUAAGGAAUAAAUUUGUAUCCAUAUUUAGAAGUAUUGUUAAAUCUGUAUCUUAAAAAUAAUCAAGGAUAAAUUUUGGAGAGAAAAACAGUCAUACUUUAAAUGAGUUAAAAAAAUCGAACACAUCAAGCAUCCUAAUUUUAUAAAUAAAUAAAAAUGAAACUCAAGUCUUCAACUUUACAUUUGGUCCAUUAUAUAAGCAAAUCAAGUUUGAAUAACUUCGUUUUCCUCAUAAACCAAAAUUCAAAUAUUUGGCUUGUCUUGGCUCACCCCACUUCAUAACUCUCCAUUUCUCAUUGUUCCAGCCAUGUUGUGUGAUGGUACGUUUGCAUGCUGCAAAAGUCAAAAGUUAGUUUUUUGAUUCUACUAUGUCAAAGGUUCCGUUUAUAUAAGAAAUGUGUGUUUGUCUAUGUGGAAUGGGUUUAUGUCUCUCGUGCAUGAGUUAGAUUCAUGAAUCCAUAUAUGUGAACAAAACAUUAUUGUGAAAGAUAUUUAUCUGUUUUGAGGCUGAAAUAUAUGAUUUUUGAAUUUUCAAGCUGCAAUGAUCAAUUCACCAUCAAAGAAUCCAUCUAGAUCCUAAAAUGAUGGAUACAUCCACAUAUUUUGAAAGAGAUAUGUAUAUACAAUGCAUGUUGAGAACAAAACAUGCAACGUAAGACUAGGGAACAAAAUCUUUUAAUUGACAUGCAUUACGUGAGAAAUUGGUCUUGUAUGUUUGGAAACAUAGCAGCCACAAGCUAAGAAGAGAAAAAAGGCACUGUUAAUUGAUUCGUUCAUACUUGUGGGGUUAUCACUAUAAGUGUAAAUGUAAUCCCAAAAAAUCUUAUAUUAAUGUCCUCCACUAAUGCCUAUAUGGUGCACAAUUACACAAUGGGUAUUAAUUCUAAUAUGGGAUAGUUGGCAAAUUGGCUUGGUAAUGCCUAAUUAUAUUCAAUACCUUACUUUAUUGAAUUUUUGCAUAAACCAGAAUAUUCAACGACAACAUGUAGUUGGAUUUGAGAGCGACUUAUUGGGCUUCCCAUGCAUAAGUAAAAAUGUGACAUGUGCAAAAUGAUGUAAAUGAUCUAAAUUGGUUUGAGGGUGAUUAGAUUUAUUAUCAUAACUAAAAUCAAUUAUUAGAAACCAUGUUUUUUUUUUAUAUUACCAUGCGUAUUUCUUCACCUUUUUUAUAAGAAAUUAAUUAUGUCUGUCCCUCCCAAUAAAUGUUGCUUUUAAAAAUCGAACUCUUAACCGUAAAAUCUUACACUACUAGACAAAUGCCUUAUUAGUUAUUAGAAACCAUGUUUAUCAUAAGGUGUUAUUUUUUUAUGGACAAAAAUUAAUUUUAUUAUAUUAUUACACAAAAUUAGAAAGGGAUAUGAUGUUGUAAGUUGUGAGAGUUACAAGUUGAAAGUUAGAAGAUAUUUAAAGAAGCAUAUUCAAGCAAUUAGAGAAGACAUUAUGUAGGUUUUGUAACCCAAUUAGAAUAGGUUAUUGCAACUCGUCCCACUUUCCAUUGAUCCGCGAUCAGGGUUUCAUCAAAUUCUGUAAUUUGUUGAAGAAAAGGUUUACUUGAGUUGAAGAUCACAUUAUUUCUAACCAAUUAAGUAGAUCAUAUUAUUACUAAUCAAAUGAUGCUACGGAGUUUUUGGCUUUUUUUUGUGCUUUAUUAUACUCAUGUCUAUAAUAAAAUGAUAAAUGGAGUCAAGUGGUAGAUUUGGGGUAAUGUCUAGCCAAUUGUAGAUUAAUUGCUAAAACUGAGUAUGUAAGUCGAUAUGAAAGGAAAAUGUUUUAUAUCUUGUGUUGAUUGUGUCUGUUUGCUGUUAGAAAUUCAUCUAGCAUUUCCUACUCUCUAUUUUUAUCCAUUUUCGAUCAACACUAUUUUAAGUAAAAUAAUUAAUAUUUUAUUAUACACAUAUAUUGUUUAAGGUAAGGAUCGGAUUAAGUAAAUGGAGAGCACAUGAACUCGUGCCAUAACAGUAUAGUUGUAUACUGAGCUUGGGUCAGCUGAAGAUUUGGUCAAAACAAUAUGUAAAAAAGAAGAAAGAUUAUUGCACUAAAAUUUGGACAACAAUAAAGUAUAUAAUGCUUUCUAGUAUGUUUAGGAAAACAUGCAAUGUAUAAUAGAAGAUAAAGAGUAGGUGAGAGAUAGAAAUAAAUGUAAAUGAUAUUAUAUCUAAUGUCAAAAUUUUGAUGUACAAAUAAUGAGAAGAUUUUAUGAGAAAUUUGUCCCAUAGGCAAUUAUCCAUUAAGAUGAUUUUGUUUUUAUUUCCAUAAACUUGACAUAUUUCGUCCAUGUGAAUUUUGGUAUUAUCAUGAUGGAAGGUAGGUAAGAAAGAGAACCUUGUUAUAGACAAAAGAUACCUCCAUAAAAUGAAGAGAAAAUUGAUCAAUUAAAUUCUGCAAUAUAACAAGUUAAGAACAUCACUCCUCUAAUAGACUCAAGCAUGUUCUCAUGAUCACCACCAAAGAGAAUCUUCACCUUUGUGGUCUAGUUUAGGAUUAUUCUUUCUAUUUUCAUGAAGAAGCAAGUCUUGAAUUUCUUCAUUAGAUAUAUCAGCCCUACAGAAUAAAGGGUGGAUGAGUUUGAGACUGGGCUAAUCUCAUGGACACUAGUGUGAGUGAUAUUUGGGUUUAAUGUGAUUAUGGAAUUGAACAGUAAAGCUUAAUGUUUGAUACUAACUUUUAACUGUGACCGAUUAUGGUCCACCACGAUAAGGGUCAUAUUUAUAAAAAAACAUUAAUUACAUAUUUUUUUCUAUUCUAUUUUAUUAAUAUAUUUAUUUUUAUAAAACUUAUAAUAGUUUUAGUAUAUUUUAUAUUUUUACUAAAACAAUUAUGAAAUAUAAGAUAAUAGAUAUAAUAUUUUCAUUUGGAAAAUAUGAUUAUAGAGACACUAUAAUUAAAAAAAUUAGAUUUGUUAAAAUUUGAAAUUUAUAAAUCGAAUACUUUGUUCAACCUUUGGAGUUAAUAGUCUCUAAAAAAUCAUUUUUUUUGUAAAACUCUGAUACAUAAAAGUACAAGGCCUCGGGCUUAGGGAUGACAAUGAAAACCAAACUUGUGGGUACUCAUUUAAACCUAACUCAAAUUUAAUGGAAAAAACCUGAUAUAAUUAAAUUUGGAUUUUACUGAAGUUCAGUUUUCAGGUUUGAUAUACUUGAUACUUUACUUGAACUCACCCGAACUCAAUUAAUAUAUAUAAAAUUACAAAAUUAGACAUAAAUACAUAUAUAAAACCUAUAUAGGUAGAAAGUUAACAUAUAUAUAGAACCUCUAUAUAUAUAUAAAGAUACAUGUUUUGGGUAGGUUCCCGUCAGGUUUGGGUUAACCAAAACCCGACGGAUGGUAAUAUUGUUUUCAACCUCGCUUAAUUUGGGUUUGGGUUGAGUAAGCACAAACCGACCUGAUUUGUCCUGUUGUCAUUCCUAAUCGGACUUAUCUCAAAUAUUGGAGAGUUCAAUACUAAAAAGUAAGGGAAAACAUAAUUUUGUCACCUUUUUCAAUUUUUGCAGGCACCAUAUAUUAGAAUAUGGGCCCAGUAUUGGACUUCUAAUAUUGGACAUGAGCUCAGCCUAAAUAUAUCAGGGUCGUUCAUAAUUAUUACGAACAGUAUAUUAACAAAUAUGAACAUGAGGAGCCAAUUUAAAAAAAAUUGAGACCAAUGUGAAAAAUAAUUAAUUUGCAAAAAAAGAUAAAACAAUGUGAAGACCAUAUAAAUAUUUUCACGUAUAAAUAUUGCUCUUGUUGGAACAAAGAAUAACGAAUGGAAUGAACAAGAAUGAAAACAGAAUGAAUGAAUGAAUGAAAGAAGGAGAAGAAUGCAAAUAGAGGAAAGGUGGUGAAAUAGUGAAGAUUUUGCAGGAAAUUAUACAGAGGAAAAGUGAUGUAUGAGAUGAGUGAAUAUCAAUGAAUUUAUAUUCUUGUGUAUUUUUUCAAAGUGAUAGUUAGGAUUUACUAUUUAUAGAAACCCUUAACUAACUUAACUAAAUUUUGAAUCACACUUUUAACAUCCCCCCAUGAUUCAAAAUUUACAAACAACAUGAAACUCCUAAACAUUUAACUACUCAAAGCAAUCGAAUCUAAUCUUGCAACAAGCCUUGAAUUCCUAUCUUCUUUCUCAAGUCUUUAAACCUAUCCAUAUUCAAAUGCUUAGUCAUAAUGUCUGCCAAUUGAAGCUCACUCUUGCAAUGUAUGAGCUUGAUUCUUCCUUCUACAACCUGUUGCCUUAAGUAAUGGUAUCUUGUUUCAAUAUGCUUGCUUCUGCCAUGUGAGACUGGAUUCUUGGCUAAAUCAAUUGCUAAUUUACUAUUUAUAGAAACCCUUAACUAACUUAACUAAAUUUUGAAUCACACUUUUAACAUCCCCCCAUGAUUCGAAAUUUACAAACAACAUUAAACUCCUAAACAUUUAACUACUCAAAGCAAUCGAAUCUAAUCUUGCAACAAGCCUUGAAUUCCUAUCUUCUUUCUCAAGUCUUUAAACAUAUCCAUCUUCAAAGGCUUAGUCAUAAUGUCUGCCAAUUGAAGCUCACUCUUGCAAUGUAUGAGAUUGGUUCUUUCUUUUGCAACCUGCUGCCUUAAGUAAUGGUAUCUUGUUUCAAUAUGCUUGCUUCUACCAUGUGAGACUGGAUUCUUGGCUAAAUCAAUUGUCGAUUUACUAUAUAUCAAUGAUUCAAUUACUUCUCCACUUUCAAUACCUAGUUCCAGCAGCAAUGAAGAUAACCAAAUUGCUUGACAAGCUGUUGCACAAGCUGCUAUGUAUUCAGCUUCACAAGUUGAUAAUGCCACUACCCUUUGUUUCUGUGAACACCAAGAUAUAGGAGCACCUACAACCAUGAACACAUAUCUCAUUGUGCUCUUUCUAUCUAGUAUAUCUCCACACCAAUCAGAGUCAGAAUAGGCCAUGAGUUGUGAGCUAAUCUUCUCAUUUUGAUGAGGAAAAACAAAGCCAAAGUCAAGUGUUCCCCUUAGAUAUCUCAAAAUUCUUUUGGCUACAACCAUGUGAGAGUGUCUUGGAUCACUCAUGAACCUACUGAUCACACCUACACUGAAUGAUAUUUCGGGUCUAGAGUGGCAAAUAUACCUCAAACUUCCCACGAUCUGCCUAAACAGUGUUACAUCCACACCUGCUUCUUCCUCACAAAUAUCCAAUUUCAAAUUCAUCUCCGCAGGAGUUUCUGAGGCAUUGCAAUUCAUCAUAUUGAACUUGUUCAACACCUCAAGAAGGUACUUCUUUUGGUGCAUGAAAAAUCCUCUAUUGGUGUAUUGAAAUUCCAGACCAAGGAAGUAUGACAAUCUUCCUAAAUCUAUCAUUUCAAGCUCACCCUUUAGGCUUUCCUUCAACUCUUCAAUUCCUCUUGAGCUACUACAUGUAAUCAGAAGAUCAUCGACAUAUAGGCAGAAGAACAAGGCACCAUGAUUUUGGUCUAUAGUCUUGAUGUACACACCAUACUCAACUGUGCAUUUCUGAAAACCAGAGUUAUGUAGAAAUUUGUCAAUCCUCUUGUUCCAUGCUCUAGGUGUUUGUCUUAAUCCAUAGAGUGAUUUCUUGAGUCUUACCACUUUAUUCUCAUUUCCUUUGCUGAUGAAACCAGGGGGUUGAGACACAAACAUCACUUCCUCUAGUGGACCAUUGAGAAAGGUUGACUUGACAUCCAAUUGACACAACCUCCAUUUCUUCCAACUAGCUAAGGCCACCAUAAGUCUCACAGUUUCUAAUCUAGCCACUGGUGCAAAGACCUCAGAGUAGUUCAGUCCUUCUUUUUUGCAUAAACCCUUUGGCCACAAGCCUUGCUUUAUGCUUUGCUAGCCAUCAGGUUUUAACUUGACCUUGAAGAUCCAUUUGACAUCUAUAGGAGUUUUCUGAUCUGGAAGGGUCACCAAUUCCCAUGUGUCAUUCUUAUCUAUUGACUUGAUCUCUUCUAGCAUAGCAUCUCUCCAAAUAUUGCUAGAGAUUACUUCUUCAAAGCUCACUGGCUCAGCAUCAACUAGUAGAGCCAUGUGUUGAACCAAAUCUCCAUCUGUAUUGAUAGCCCCAUUAGAAUAGAGGUGAAAGUCUCUGAGUCUAGAUGGAGCAUUCCUUUGUCUUCUUGGUCUUUCAUCAAUUCCUUGUUGCAUAUGACUUUGUGCAUCUAUCUGUUCUUCUUCUCUCAUCAAUUCAUCAUUCUCCCAAUCUAGAUGCAGACUAGCCAUAGGAAAAGUGUUAUCUUGAGACCAUUUCCAUGAUUCAGAUUCACCAAAGUGCACAUCUCUACUAAAUACAACUUGAUGUUUGUAGGAUUGUACAAUUUAUAUGAACCCGUAGGAUUAUAUCCAAUGAAGAUCAUUGGUUCACUCUUGUUAUCUAGCUUCUUUCUUCUUUGAUCUGGGAUAUGACUAUAGCAAAGUGAGCCAAAUAUCCUUAGAUGUUUCAUAGAAGGUUUUACUCCUGACCAAACUUCUUCUGGCACUACUGAAUUCAACUUCUUCGUAGGACAUCUGUUUAGAACAAAUGCAGCAAUGGUGGUUGCUUCUCCCCAAAAACCGUGUGGAAGAUUCUUGGUCUUCAACAUACUCCUAACCAUGUUGAGGAUUGUUUUAUUGCUUCUUUCUGCAAUUUCAUUGUGUUGAGGUAUGUAUGGAGCAGUUACCUCAUGUACAAUUCCUUGCUCCUUGCAGAAUUCAACAAACUCCCUUGAUGUGUACUCACCACCAUCAUAAUUUGUUCUAAGGUUCUUUAUGCUCCUCCCAGAUUGUUUUUCUGCCAAUCUCUUAAAGUCCUUAAAGAUUGAGAAGACUUCAUUCUUGAGUUUGAUUAGAUAAAUCCACAACUUUCUACUCAAGUCAUCUAUGAAUGAUACAAAGUACUUGUUGCUUCCUAGUGAUGGAACACCAAAUGGUCCACAAACAUCAGAGUAGAUUAUAUGCAACAAGUCAUUUGCUCUUGAGGCAGUGUAUGAGCUGAAAGAAUUUCUUGGAUGCUUGCUAAUAAGGUUAUUAUCACACACCUUCCUGGGAAGAUCUAUUGAGGGUAAUCCUAGAACCAUGUCUCUAAAUUUCAACAUACUCAAAUCUCUGAAGUUCAAGUGCCCAAAUCUUAGAUGCUAAAGCCAAGAAUCCUCUGAUAGUGUCAUAGUAGAUAGGCACUGAGAUUCCACUAUUGCCAAACUGAUUUGAAAUGUUCUGUUUGAAGCCAUAGUUGCCCUCAUGACUAGUUUCUUCUUCUGAUCAUAGAUUUCCAAGAAACCAUUGAGUAGUUCCGUGGAAAAUCCUUUCUCCAACAGUUGUCUCAUACUGAUCAAGUUGUUUUUCAUGUUUGGCACAUACAACACAUCAAUGAUCAUGGCAUGCUUGUCAUCCUUUCUCUUGAUCAAAACAUCACUAGUGCCUUCAGCUUGAAUGACCUUAUUGUCAACAAAUCUAACACUGCUUUUUCUCUUUUCAUCAAAAUUAACCAACCAAUCUCUGUGUCUAGUCAUAUGGCUUGAGCAACCAUAAUCUAUAUACCAUAUAUCAUUGUUCUUGCUAACUUGGCUAGUAACAAUCAUGAGCAAGAGAGGUUGAUCAUCAUUUUCUAUCUCAACCUCUUCUUUUGCCAUUUGUGAUUCAUUGUGUUGUCUGCUUCUAUUAUUACUUUGGCUAGAUGAGGCUUUGCAUUCAUUUGAGAAGUGGUCAAUUUUGCCACAAUUGAAGCACUUUAUCUUCUUCCUAUCCAUUGCAUUUCUACCUCCUCUCCAUUGAUUGAAUCCCCCUCUCUUGAUUGAGCCUUCUGAUUCAUCAAUGUCUAUUCUUUCUUGAUCUAAAAUUUCUUCCUCUACUUCUACCUCGAAGUCCAUUUCUUCCACCAAAGCUCCUUCUACUUGUGUGAGCUUGUAAGGUCUGCUCAACAUGUCUUUCUAUAGAUCUUUCCAUGAGCCUUUGCUCAUGUGCCUCAAGAGAACCUUGAAGAUCUUCCACCUUCAUUUCUUCUAGUCUUUUGGACUCCUCAAUUGCCACUACAAUAUGGUCAAAAUUUGGAGUUAAAGUGCGAAGGAUCUUCUCAACAAUGGACUGAUUAGAAAUCUUCUCUCCACAAGCUUUCAUCGAAUUUGUAUGAGUGACAACUCUGUUAAAGAAUUGAGCCACCUUCUCAUUUGCACCCAUCUGCAUCAAUUCAUAUUGUCUUCUUAAAGUUUGCAAUCUCACUUUCUUUAAUUGUUCUGCUCCUUGAUUGCAAGCUUCAAGAAUCUGCCAUGCCUCCUUCGAAUUUGCAGCACCAGAAAUCUUCUCAAAGUGUGCUUCACCCACACACUGAUGUAGGAGGAACAUUGCCUUGCAAUCCUUCUUCUUGUUCUCCUUAUGCACCUUCCUUUGUUCUUCUGUUGCAACUUCAGCAAGAAUUGGAAAACCUUGUUCAACAAUUUCAUCUACAUCUUGAUAUCCCAUUAGUGCCUUCAUUUGCAAUCUCCAUCGGUUCUAAUUCUUGCCAUUAAGAAUUGGAAGGUUUGCUGAGAAAUUUCCACUAUUUUGUCCCAUGAUUUUCGAAGAUGAUUGAUGAUGAUGAAGGUGUAUUCUUGGAUCUUUGAACCUUGCUCUUGAUACCAAUUUUGUUGGAACAAAGAAUAACGAAUGGAAGGAACAAGAAUGAAAAUAGAAUGAAUGAAUGAAAGAAGGAGAAGAAUGCAGAUAGAGGAAAGGUGAUGAAACGGUGAAGAUUUUGCAGGAAAUUAUGCAGAGGAAAAAUGAUGUGUGAGAGAAGUGAAUAUCAAUGAAUUUCUAUUCUUGUAUGUUUUUUCAACGUAAUAGUUAGGAUUUACUAUUUAUAGAAACCCUUAAUUAACUUAACUAAAUUUUGAAUCACACUUUUAACAGUUAUUUCAUUAUUCCCACCCCCGAAGACCUAAGUUGCUCUUGGAAUUUAGUUUCUUGACGUGUUCUUUAUUUCAUGUAAAUUUCAAUGGCAUGCUGAUCACGGGACGUGAGAGGCUACGAAGUUUCCUCGAAAGAGAAAGAACAGAAAAAUAGGGACAUGUACCAUGGAAAAAACAACACUAUCAUGUGUUUUCUGUGUUACUCAAAACCAACCACCAUCCUAUAUUCCAAUUCCAAAAGAAUUGCUUACUUUACUAUCUUUCCUUGCAUGUGGCGUUUGUCAAUUUACUAUCGAAUUUUCUUCUCCCUCUUCUUUACUUACAUAGUUAUAUUUUGUUGGUAUUAUCAAACGUAUCUCUUCACCCUUUGGGUAAAGAACUAAUUCAUUUCGAGAUAUGUGAUUGUCUAUCUCAACAAGUAUCGCUCUCAAUAGUUGAACCAUUGAUAUUUAUAUGGUUAUAUAUGUCCAUAUUCAAUCAUCACUAUUAAAAAAAACGUUGAAAGAUAUAUCUCUUUCCAUCAAAAUUUCCAACCUUCUUUACGGGUUUCACCAAAGUCAUGCCACACUUCCAUUUUCCAUAAUUGGUGUAAUAAAAUAAUUCAUUUGUAUGUGAUUUCCACGUUGCUAGCACGUCGAUCAUUAAAUUAAAUUUUAGAAAUUUCAGUAACAAUAACCAUGUUAAUUUAUAUGACAAACUUAACAGUGGGGUUACUUUCUUAUUGUUUUCAACAAGGGGUAAGUUUAUAAAAUGUUUUAGAUUGGAAAGGUGAUAGAAAAGAGUUGAAGGUAAUUUUAGGAUUUAACUAAGAUUCUCAAUCUUUUAUUUAAAAAAAUAUUAGGAGUAUGAAGGAUACCUAACCCACAUACCCUAACUACCACAAAUUUAUUACAAUUAUAUAAUUCAGGUACUCAGUUUUUACAAUUAGACAAUUCACGUACACAGUUUUAAUGAGAUAGUAAGAGUUACUUUUAAGUUUUAAAAUUUAAACACAAUCCCACACGUUAGAAAAUUUUCAACAUUAUAAAUUAGAUAAUAAAAUUCACAUUAAAGUCUCCAUAUGAGGAUGACAACAAGGUUGGGUGAAGACAAGCAACAAACUCAUUUUCUCUCUUAUCUUUAUCUCUGAUCCUAUUAUGAUUUUAUAAAAUAGAAAGAAAGAAAAUAUAUUAAAAGUUCAAUAAAAUAGAAAAAUGUAGUAGAAGUUGAAAAAGUUCGAAAAAUAAAGUCUAACUCAGGCAUCCAUACGACAGGUUGUAGAAGCGAAAGUGAAAUAUUGACUGCAAAAGUGACAAGUUUGUAAUGCUCUAUUCAGAUUAAGUUGUCAAUCACUGAAAUCGUUUUGAACAACUUUUAUUCUUUACCCGCAUCAUCUUCUAUUUUUCUCAUUGUUUUUAGUGUUGUAACUCUUUUGUAUCUUUGGUAUCUCUUUAAUAUAAAAAAUUGCAAAUAAAAAGAUAGUACAAAAUCCAAAUGCUCAUCAACAAGCUCAUGUUAAAUAAUUAUAAUAAUGAACUAAUCUUUUUCUGAGUGUGUGACUGCUCCUCUCAAUAAGUGUUGUAUGUAGAAUUCAAAUCCUUAAAUUUUGGUCAUUCUAAAAAUUUAGUAAAAACUUAUAUUAUUAGACUAACAUCUCAUUUGUUUUCUUUCGGGUCUUUACUCCAUCAUUUUGGCCCCACAAUGAAAAACAGCUUCAAUCAUGAAACUUGGCUGAAAUGACCAUGGCUAAGAUCAUAAAAGACAUUCAAAUUUUGUAAUUACAACCGAAUAGUUUCUAGAAUCUCUCCAAUGAUGUUAAAAUUGCAAUUAGGUUGUACUUCCCAUAAUUUAAAACAUAUUUAUACUUAAUAAUAAUAUUUUAGCAUCAAUCGAGCAUUAGGAAAAAUUCAUAGAUUUUUAAGUAUAAAAUUUAUUAAAAGAUUGAAGUAAUACAUUUAAAGAAUACAAAACCAACAAAUAAAUAGUAUUACACCUUAACCUACUCAAUAAUAACACAUCAAUACAUAUUCAACACAACAUGGAAUCGCACAUAAUCGAGAAUCAACUAUAAAGUCAUCUAGUGUAAGCUAAGAUUUGAAAUAGAAGUUCAUUCAAUCUAAAACAUUAAUAUACUUAUGUAUUCUUUUUAUCUAAAUCCAUGACUUGUUUUAUCAUGUCCACAAAUUUCAUAGUUAAUUCUAAAAGAGUAUGGACUCCGAGAAGCUCAUUCCAUGUAAUACCUCACAUUUAUAAGAAAUAUAGAAUAAAAAAAAUCUAAGAGACUUCUACAAUGCUGUAUUUUUAUAUCCCUUGUUUCACACUCUUAACCAAACAGACAAUUAGACUAGGCAUGACAAUGACAACAGAUGCGGGCGGACGCGAGUAGUGUUUUCCGUGCCAAAACUUUCACCAUCACUGAUCCAAGAUGCAACUUUUUUCAGCACAAAUUCAUGUCGAGAUUUGGAACAAAGUGAGCUUAAGCCAAAAUGAUGAUUAAGCCACACACAUUUACGAAAUUGUGACGCUCUAUUCUCAUGAAUCUCACUCUGCCAUGAACAUCAUUAUUAUAAGAAACAAAAAGAAUAAUAAUAAUAAGAAACAAAAAGAAUCGAAGAAGCUGCGUUUAUAUAUUCAUCUCUCAUAUGAUCAUGAUCAUCAUCACAUAUGCAUCUUUAUAAAGUAAGAAUAAUAAUAAUAAUAAUCACAAUCAUAAUCAUCGCUGCAACUCCAUCAUACGCGAAAAGUCCUCAAAGCACACGAACCCAUCUCCUUUUCUAUCAACACUCUCUAUCAUGCGCCUGCACUCCGCUAACGUGCACCUCUCAUCUCCGAUCGCCUCAAAAACUCUAAACAACUCCUCCGCCGAGAUCCUCCCGUCACGAUCGGUGUCGAACACCGCGAAAGCCUCCAUCAUCUCAUCCGCGUUUUCACACGACCCGGAACCCGAUCCAACCCGAUUCAUCAGCGCCUCCACGGUUAUGCACCCUUCCCCGUCGAACUCAACCUCGCUCAGCAUCAUUGCCACCUCCUCCGGCGCUGCCGCGAGCCGAUUUAACAACGCCUCAAGCUCGUGCCGUGAAAUUACACCGUCCCUAUCGCGGUCGAUGAAGCGGAAGGCGUUAGCAAGAUCGGAGUGGAGGUCGCCGGAGAUGGCGGUCCAGUCGCCGGAAACGUCAGGAAGAACACUGGUCGGAGUUUGAGAACCGGUUGCUCCGGUUGCCGUCUUAUGAGUGGACCCCUCAGAAGAAGAAGAUAAAGAUUCUGAACCGAAUGAUGGCGGGUCGGAUCUUGAAACAGUGGAACGGUCUUUCUUUGAACGGAAGAACCGUUUUGGACUGAGUUUAUUGAUGAGCUUCAUUUGGAAGAGAAAUAGGAGAGAAAGGAAAUGAGGGAAUUAGGAGAGAGAGAAAAUGGAAGGAAGAAAGGUUUGAGGGGAAAGAGAGUGGAAGGUUGGGGGUUAAAUGGAGGUACAUAGCUACCUUCAAGUGAGCUUCUAGGAAGUUUCCUAGUGGAUCAUUGAGGGAUGAAAAAGUGCCUCACUAUUUAUAAUAAUUUAUACUCUUCAAUAUUAUAAUCAAUUAUUCAUUUAUGACUGAUUUGAUUAAAUGGGAAAUUCUUUCUCCACGUUGAUGUCAACUUUUUUUUUAAAGGAGUAGGUGGGAAAGAAAAAUUUUGAGGAAGUUUUAUUAUAUUCUCCUACUAAAUCUUGAUACUUAUGAGAAAGUGAUAUGUCAUUUAUAAAUUAAUUAUUAAUAAAUAAAGUAUCAUCUUAUAACAUACGUUACUUUUUUGUUGGUAGAAAGAUUAGUAAGAAAAUAUAAUAAAAUUAUAUUAAUAGGAGAAUAUUUGUUGUCUCACUUUCUGUAUUACUCCAUGUACCAUCACUUCUAAUUGAAUUAAAAAAAUUAUUUAAGUUAAAAUUACAAUUAGUAAAUAUUUUUCUGAUCAAUCAUAUAUACUGACACAAAAGAAUGAGAUAGCAUAUAUGGACCCUCUAUUAUUUUCCAACUCACAAUGUUAAAAUGUGGGUCUCACUUUUUUCAUCCUUCUCAAAACAAAAACAAAAACAAAAAACAAAUCAAUAAUAAAUAAUAUAUUAACAGUGUGAUGGGUAAACUUUUAACUCUUAGAGAAAAUGUUGAGUUUGUGUAGUAGAAUCCAUAAUUUAAACUUGUACUGAUGUGUCUCUAAAUUUGAUAUGUUAAAGUAUAUUAGUAAGAAUUUUUGUAGCUUGGAUUAAUUUUAAAAUGGAUGAUUGGGAGUUUGUUGAAUUAGGCUGGUUAAUGUUACCACUUAAGUCUUCAUAUUUGACAUUAUUUUUCUUUAUUACGUAGAAGGAUAUAUCAUUUUUCAUAAUAUUAUCUUUCUUUUUAUACUAAUCUAUCAUUUACUUAUUUCGAGAAUAUAUGUAAUGUCUCAUUUUUCAUGAUUCUCACACACAAAUGGGAAAUAACAAAAACAAUUUCUUUGUCAUCUUUUAUUUAAGAAGAGUGCAUACAGGCUUAAGAUUAGCAUUUUUGUGAGGUUUCAAGAAUUAAGGGUAUACUUCAGUCGAUAAUUGAAGAUUAAUAUCUUUCUAGGAGAAAAAAUCACCAAAGUGAAUACAGCAUCUCCCAACAAAGCAUUUCUCAUAUACACAAUAUGAAUUAAACCCUCAACAUUAUGUUUAAGGAAUCAAUUUUUUUUUUCUAUCGGGCUUUAUUGCUUAAGAAUGUUUAAUUUUUUAUUUAUAACAGAGUGCCUUAGUGCUUAGUGGGUGAGAUUUGAAUGAUAUGUUUUGAGACUUGGAUUCGGAUAUAUUUUACUUGGUGAAAUAUACUUAUUAAUUUAUAUAUGGUUGGUGAAAUAUACUUAUUAAUUUAUAUAUGGUAAGAUUAUUGGUGUAGUAUUUUGUUAACCAAAUCAGCAUGUAAUAAAGAUUUCUUAAUGGUAGGGAACAUAACAAGUAAAAUAAACAUUUAAAGAUCUUCACCAGUAAAAAUUAGGAACUAAAUUAAGAACGUAACUCUUGGAAGAGCCCACUUACUCACAAUUGUAUCUUAGAUAUAACAAACACCAUGACACCAAUAUAUGUUCAUAUAACUAAUAGGCAUAUGGAUAUUAUUUUUUUGUCUUUCUAUAUUUACUUUUAUCUUUCCAUUAAUUAUUAUUAGUUUAUUCCACUACCUAUAUAUAUAUAUAUAAAUUUUAGAAAUGCUAAUGGCACAAUUAGAAAAAUUAGUUAUUAACAUUUUUAAGCUUCAAAAAGAACUAGUUGAUACAUAUACAUGUUUUGCAAAGAGACAAUUAUUACCUCAAAAUGGAAGGAGGAAUGAUAAUAAAUAUAAGAAUACUUGGUAAGGAAUUAACUCAUAAUUCAAAAGAUCAAUUUAAAACAAUUUACAAUUUCAUUUAGAAAAUAUACUUUAUAUUUAUUUUUGAAUCUGGAGUUUAAUUAAUUUAUUAGUUAAUUCAUAUUAUGUGAUUUUAUAUCAUUUAUAAUUUCAGAAAAAAACACAUGUAAUUACUAUAGUUUAUAUAAAAUUGUUUAUGGAGUGUUCAAAUACAGUUGGUCUAAAUACUAUGUAUUAUAUAUCAACCAACCAAACUAUGUUAGUUCAGCUAGUAAGAAAUUGAGUCAUUGUUUACAAGAUUGUGACUACAAAUAUCAUUGGCACAUGAGAAUUUCAUUGGCGAAAAAUUCUAAAUAUUUUUGUAACCACUCAUAAAAUUAAUGUGAUCCAACCCAUUUAUGGCUUAAAUAUAUAUAUAUAUAUAUAUAUAUAUAUAUAUAUAUAUAUAUUCUUAAUUUCUUCAAUAUACAUCUUUAGCUGCAAUCAAAAGUUACAGACUUUCCGUUAAUUUAAAAAAAUUGCGCCUUUCAGUAAUUUCCAAUGAACACUUGAAUAGAUUGGAUAAUCUUAUUUUAUUGCCUCGUUAACAUGUUUUGCAUUUUGCAUGAUAACUUUAGUCAGGUAAAUUAAUUGAGAUUAUUGUCAUCGAAUGAUCGAGUUUUUACAGCACAAACAUAAUAUAAUAAGUAGAAUAUAAGGUUGGGCACUUGUUCAAGGAACGUAAAAAUGAAUUCUUCUCUUGAAAAGAGAUGUUUUUAUAUUUUGAGAAAUGUUAGAUUUUGUUUUCUAAGAUUUGUUCUUUAUUCUUAAACAAUAUAUAAUAAUUCAAUAUUGAGUUACUAAAUGCGAAUGAUUGAUAUAAUGCAAUGAGGAGGGAGAAGAGGUUUGUUUGGCUUAUGCAUCAUUUUUAAUGAUUGGUAGGCAUAUUCUAAAAUGAUAUAUUAGGAAAUACGCAGAAGAGUGAAAGAGAGAAUAUGUUGUUGGUUAGAUAUAAAAAGGGAUUAUAUACUUGUUGCGUUGAACUCUGUGCACCGAACUUAUGAAUUUUAGAGAAUAUCUCAAUCCGAAAAAAAAGUAGAGGCAGAAAAAUGGGUAAAGCAUAAGUCAGGUGCGCUCCAAAUACGGAUGAGGAUCUGCUGUCCCUAAUUAUAUCUCAAACUAUGUUUUUUAUCAAUUACAAUGAAAUAAAUUUGAUAAAAUUAUGAAUAUUUAAUUUUUUUAAUUGACGUGACAUAAUAGAAUUGGUAUGGUCCUUCUCCAUCCAAAUACUCCUGGGAAGAAAAUUGGUUCAGACCAAUCUGGUCCAAUUCAUUUAAAACAAAUCAUGUUGAUUCUAAAAACUAAAAUUUAUCUCAUUCUUGUUAAUAAAAAAUCUAAAAUUUAUAUUUUAUUUUCCUCACUAAUGACAAACACGGGUAAUACAAGCAGAAAAUUUACAGUAGUAAUAUAGUUUAACUACUUUAUUACACAUUUAGUGUAACUUCUUAGUUUAUUGUCAACAUAAUACACUUUUACAUAAGUCAUGUUUCAUUUAUGCAAUUUUUAGAUAGAAUUGUCACUAACAUGCACAAGUUUGGUGUACUGAUUUAAUUUUUAAAACUCGUGAUUAUAAUCUACGAUUAUCCCUUUUUUAUAGUGGUUAAUGUUUCGAAUGAUAAGACAGAGGUUCAAGGUUCAACACUCGUUAAAUUGCAUUAUAUUUAUUAUCAAAAUUUAUACAUUUUUUAGAUUAUACAUCAAAAUAUAAUUCAGUAAAUUUCUUAUUAAUAUCUUUUAGUUAUUUGCAUUGAAGUAGGAGGUGUGAUUAUGAUUUUGCUGUACGACUAAAAUAAAAGUGUAUAAAAUUUGGUAGUUCUUAUGUGAAUAAUAUAUAUUGAAGUUAUGACUAAAAAAAUAAACAAUGAAAUGAGGAGGUGUAGAAUUUUGGACCUCUACUUUAUCAUGUGAAGCACUGACCAUUAUAUCGGUACAAAACUUCAUGAAUAAUAUACAGUGAAAACUGUAUUUGAUGAAUACAAGUUUAAAAUAAAUUAAAAAAGAAAAAUCCAACCAUGAGUUUUAAUAAAUUAAAUUAAUACCCAAAACUUAUAUACAUUAGUAACGAUUUUAUUUAAAAAUUGUACAUAUCAAACAUAUAAAAGUGAGAAGGACAGCCCCCACAAACAUCUCUAAUUUUCUUCUAUUAGAAUAAUAAUAACAUGCAUUUGGACUCUAUCUAUUUUGCUUUUCCAUUUUUCCAUGUUUCAUUAUAAAAGAAAGACCUAUCUCUCAUAUUAUGUUCAUCAUUUUUACUUGGUUGUUAUUUAUUAUUCAUUAUUUAUAUUUAUAGGCAUUCUUGUAUAAAAGGACAUUAAUCUUAAUAUACUUUUAAAGUUUUUAAGGUUUGUGAAUAUCGUUGGGAGGAUAAAUAUAAUUUUAGAUGUUUCAUUUUUGUUUCAAAUAAACUUGAGAUUGCUUUUAUUUUGUUUUGUCCUAAUUAUACAUUUACAGGUUCAACAUUUGUCCAAAUUAAAGGACAAGUUUAAAUACAAACAUUAACUCUGUUAAUAUUUAAAGAUGUAUGAGGAAGAAGUCUUGUAUGUCCAAUUCCCAACCCCUCUUUUGACAAAUCAUCGCAUAGCUUAAUUGGCUUACAUAAACAAUUUCAUCGUAUUUCAAAUCAUAUAUUAUGUAUCUCUAUAAAAAGAAGUGCAUUGUGACGAAAAAUAAUGUACUUGAAGUUGCAAGGAAGUUUCAUUGAAGGAUCUAAUGUAAGUUCAUGCAUUAAUUUAUCUUUUUCCGUACCUUAGUAGUAAAAUACUAUUAAGAAUUAAUUAACUCGACAGUAACUAAUAGAUAAAAUAACAAACUAAUAAGGAGGUAUUAUAAUAAGUUAGUAUCAUCUCUAAUAGAAGAUAAAUGCUUUAAAAAAUAAAGAAAAAUAUAAUUUUUAAUAAUAUAUUUAUCAUUUUAAUUAUAAUAAAAGUAUACUUGCAUCUUUAUAAUAAAAAAAUCCUUGUUCCUACUGUACAUGACUAUAACAAUGCUAGAUUUUUAUGUAAGAUGUAAAGUAAAAUGAUAAUGUUCAAUUAUUAAAAGUGAUACUUAUUAGAAAAAUAGUCCAAAAAAAUAUUAGUUAUUUAUCAGUGUAAUGAGGGGAUAAUCUCAAUUUGAAGUAUAUAUAAAACAACCUAAUAAGUAUACUUGAUAUAAAGGAGUUUUGCUAAUCACUAUCCUAAGGGCACUAGUUAAGCAACAAAAAAGAAUUAAAUUUUGUUCGAAACAUUGCAUUAGUUAUUCAUCUAUAAGACUCGAAUCCGAAAUCUUACUUAAAUGUUGAUUCUUAAUAAUAUACACACCAUUUUUUAUAUUAACUUAAAAUUUUUAGUUCCUUAAACAUUGCUUUAAGAGUAAUGGUUUGUAAAACCCAUAAUAAAUAAAGGGUAAUGUUAAGAAGUGUUAUAUUUUUUUUAAAAGAAAGAAAAAAAAAUUUAUACGUUUAAAAAAUGAAAGAAUAAAAUUUAUUUUUGAAAAUUAAUAUUUAAUAUAUCAAAAAAUAAUGAUUUAAUUUUCAAUAGUGAAUUCUUUUUUUUAGUAUUCUUUAAACCUUGCUCUCAUAGUCUCAUUGCACUUCCUUACAUAACCCUUAAGUAAAGGGUUGAAAAAUAAGCUUUGAAAAAUUGUAUGGUCAAAUUAAACUGCAAAUGUUCUUUUGAUAUCCAUACAUAGUGAUAAUUCAGACAAUGGAGAGUGAGGAAAAUGAAAUUAUAGAUACGUAUUCCUCACGCAACCAAAUGUAUGGCUCUCUCUUAAAUUCCAUUGAACUUGCAUCAAUGAUUAACUCAUGAUUUUCAACAUUUUCCGUGAACUAGUGUUGGUGGUAGGGACACAUUUCUGAUUUUGGAUUUUUCUGAUACUAUCCGUUGUCCAAAAUGGUAAUGAACUAAUUCAUUUUUGGUGUAUGAAUGUCUCUCUCCUAACAAAUAUUCAUCUCUAAAUAAGUGUCGUUUCAUGAACUGAACCCUAUAUUUUUUAGCCAUCCUGAGAAUUUAACGGACUUUAUACAAUUAGACCAAUACAUUGUUGAUUGAUUUUACACUUUGUUUACCACUUUACUAAAUCUUAAAGAUAUUUUAGAUUUGGUUUUGUAUCUAUUUGUUCUAUAUAAAUAGGACGGCCUCUCUCUCUUAUAUUCAACAUACACAUCACUUAUAUCAUAGUGAAAACGAGCCAACAUUCAGAAUAUAUAAUCAUGUAAGAGUUUAGUUUGAACAAUGAUAGUUUGGUGGCAUAGAACAUUGAUAAAACAGAAAUAAAAUAGAAGUAGAUCUAACUUAUGAAUCUAUUACCAAAAGUUUGUGGGUGUAUGGUAUUUAGAAUAAAAAUAUACCCAAAACCAGACAAAUUUAAGUACAACAACUUGUGUUAGAAACCUGUAGAAGAAAAAACGUAGAACAUGCCUACAUAAAGACAAUGUAACUUUCCUUUUAAACAGCUAGUAGACAAUAGACAAUUAUGAAAAGUAGUAAUGAAAUAUAUUAUUUUAAUGUUUGAGGGUGACAAUCUUUUGAGAUUCAAUUAUGAGCUAAAAGAUAUCUCUCAUUUUAUGUGAUAUUCCAUAUAUCACCAUUUUAUCACAGUUCACCAAAUUACUUUCUUUUUAAGUUAGUAAUUAUGUUUUCUACGAAAAUAAAGUUGUAUCACAUAAAAUGGGACAAUUGAAAAGAAAACAUGGUGUAACUACUCAUGAUGUAAAAAUAAAGACAAAUAAAUAUAAUAUAAAGUACCCUUAAUGAAAAUUAUAAUGUAAAAUACAUUCAAUAAAAUAUAUUCUAAUUCAACAAAAUAAAAUUUAUAAAACUUAAAUAUUUGAUACCAAAAAUUAGAAAAUAAAAAUGUAAGUUAACAAGCACGAAGUGACUGUUACCACACUAAUGUGGAUCUAUAAUCAUGAAACAACAAGGUGAGUUUGAGAUGAAAUUGGGAAUAAAGUAUUAUAUGAUUUGUUUUAGUCUGAUAUUGUGGUAGAGUGAAGUAAAAUCAUUAUAAAUUGACCUAGUCACUUAAAUCAGCCGAGUGAAAUUGUGAAAUUUCAUUUUUUUUAUAUAAAAUUAAUUAGAUAAGUGACUCAGAUAGAUCUAAUACUUGGUUCACAGUUCAACGAGUCACUCGAAGCUGAUUUUUAUAUCAUUACUCUUCAACCAUUUUGUUUGUUUCUUACUGGGGAGAAGGAUAUGAAUUUUCUCCAGCACUGAGCGAAGAUUAAACAAGCUGCAGAAAAAAAUCAUAAUGACCAUAAUUUUAAGUUUUUUAAUAACAAAUUAAAAAGAUUUCCCUUAUCCUAAUGUUUCACUACCACCGGAAAAGAGCUUGGGGUAAGUUUUUUGUGCUAUUAGAUAUAUUUCCUCACUUUGUGAGUACUUAACUAAUCUCUUUCGAAAUGUGUGAUUGUCCUUCCCAAUAAUCGAACCCUUAACUUUUGGUCAGUAUGAUGAUCAAUGUCGUAUUUUUUUAUUGUUGCUAAGUUGUGCAAUUACUAGUUGUACUUUUUUUAGGUACAGAAUUACUAGUAGUACUUUUAUCCCAACUCGUUUUUUUUUUCAUAUUUCAAAUCUCCCAUUUUUCAUUAUUUGAUUCUGUUGUGGGCUUUAAAAUAAGUAGAAUUGAAUUAAUUGGGCCUCCAUCAAAACGACACAGACCCAUUAGAGAGACGAAAAAAGGAUAUCCCUUUUCAGUUUUCACAUUCUUCCUUUUUCGAACUUCAAUAAAUAUGAAAGUUGCAGAGUUUAUCCAGAACCCACAACAGAGUUAAUUACUCAAUUUGACUCUUCACUCUACACUCUCUACUUCAUUUUUGUCUUCUCUCAAGGUAACAAUUCCUUAUCUUAUCUUAUCUUGUAAUUAUUUUCAUUUUUAUGUCUUAGGUUGUUGUGUUGGGUUCUAUUUUUUAUAUAAUUUUAAGUGGGUGGGUUUUAAAUGAUGUUUUAUGUCUGGUGGGAUUGAAAAGUUUGUAACUUUGAAGUAAUUUGAUUAAUUCUCCACUCAGUUUGCAUUGUGUUUAUGCUUGCUUAUGAAAUUAUAAAUAUUUGUUCUUUGUCACUUUCUCUUGAUCUUCAAAGUUUGGAAACUGGGUUAAUGGGUGCAUGAAUUAGUAUUGCUUGUUUGAGGGGUGUUUUGGUCUUAUUCAAUAUGUGAUGCAGCUCAAUGGUUUUUAAAUUGGAAUGAUCAUUGUUUGCCAUGGUGGUGAAAGUGCCUUCAUGAGUUACACUUAUUUGGAGGUUAAUGUAAUUAGUCCAUGGCUUUUGUUACUUGCUUGAUGAACUUGUUAUAUAUAGUUCCACUAACUAAUUGUGAGACUAGGUGGUUAUCUAGGAUUUAUUGAAUUUAAUUAUCAGAUAGUUGUUCUUAUAUCACUAUUUGUUAGUGGAGAAAACCCGAUACAACAGGUAGUUAGUGGAACUAUCGAAGAGAACUAAGUUUUUUUUCUCAUUAUCUGAAGUGAAAUUCAAAUGAAAGGCUUUUAGUUCUUUUUCAGGAACGUGUCAACAGUAUUUAAAGGAACCUCAGAUGGCUCAGUUACUAUCAUCUUCUUGCUCCGUGACGCUCUCCUCUAGAAACAAGCCUUACUUAAAAUCUUUUGAUCAUGGUUCGGCUUCAUUUUCUUGCAAGAAUUCCACAUCUCCAUUUAGAAGGCUUUUCUUGCAAGAAAACAAGCCAAGAAAAAGUUCUGUAGUAGUACAUGCUACUUCAGUUUCAACAAGCCGGGAAGCCCCAGUUCAAACUAGCUCUGGCGACCCUUUUAAACCAAAGCGAGUGAUUGUCAUUGGUGGAGAUGGUUAUUGUGGUUGGGCAACUGCCCUCCACCUGUCUAACAAGGGUUAUGAGGUUGCCAUUGUUGAUAGCCUUGUUCGACGACUCUUCGAUCACCAGCUUGGACUUGAUUCUUUAACACCAAUUUCCUCCAUCCAGAAUCGCAUUCAACGUUGGAAAUCUCUCACUGGAAAAAGUAUUGAGCUCUACAUUGGUGACAUAUGUGACUUUGAGUUCUUAUCUGAAACCAUCCAGUCAUAUGAACCUGAUGCUGUUGUGCAUUUUGGGGAACAGAGAUCUGCUCCUUACUCUAUGAUAGAUCGGUCAAGAGCUGUGUUUACACAGCAAAAUAAUGUUAUCGGGACACUCAAUGUGCUCUUUGCUAUAAAAGAGUUCAGAGAGCAAUGUCAUCUGGUUAAGCUUGGAACUAUGGGUGAAUAUGGGACUCCAAAUAUUGACAUUGAGGAAGGUUUUAUUACCGUUACUCACAAUGGAAGGACAGAUACUUUACCAUAUCCCAAGCAAGCAAGCUCAUUUUAUCAUCUUAGUAAGGUGCAUGAUUCACAUAACAUAGCCUUCACUUGCAAGGCUUGGGGGAUUCGAGCAACCGAUCUGAAUCAAGGAGUGGUAUAUGGGGUAACAACAGACGAGACUGCAAUGCAUGAAGAGCUGGUUAACAGGUUUGAUUAUGAUGGAGUAUUUGGAACUGCCUUGAAUCGAUUCUGUGUUCAGGCUGCUGUUGGUCAUCCACUUACCGUAUAUGGUAAAGGAGGCCAGGUAACAUACCCAUCUACUUGUUUAUCUCUUAUUGGUUAGUAGAAGAGUAAUUUUCUUUUUCUACGGCUUGCAAGGACAUAAACAACUUCAUGUGAUUUUUGCUAUAUUAUUUUGGUAACUUCAGAUAGAGUGGUUUAUAUCUUUUUUUGCUUUAUUUUUUAUAGUUCUCUUCUUACAUUAGUUGAAUUAAUACUUGUCUGUGGGAGAAAUCUAUGAAAUGCUCUUCUGCUAAUAUUUUGUUUGUAUUUUUUGGAAUGUGCAAAUUUCAGACUAGAGGCUACCUUGACAUAAGAGAUACAGUUCAAUGUGUGGAGCUUGCCAUAGCAAACCCUGCAAACGCCGGGGAGUUCCGAGUCUUUAAUCAAUUUACUGAGCAAUUUUCAGUCAAUCAACUUGCCAGCCUUAUUACAAAUGCAGGUGAGAAGCUAGGCCUCGAUGUGAAAUCUAUAUCAGUACCAAACCCAAGAGUAGAGGCAGAGGAGCAUUAUUACAAUGCCAAGCACACUAAACUAGUUGAGCUGGGACUGAAGCCACACCUUCUUUCAGAUUCUCUCCUUGAUUCCCUGCUCAACUUUGCUGUUCAGUACAAAGAUCGCGUCGACACAAAACAAAUCAUGCCUAGUGUUUCUUGGAGAAAAGUUGGGGUCAAAACUAAAACUGUAACAAACUAAAGUGGGUUCAUUAUGGCUGAUAUAACUCUAUGAUGACUCUUCUGGUGAUAGGUUAUUCUGCAUUGCCUUGAAUAUUUCAAGUUGCUCUAUUCUAGGAUUUAUGUAACCUUAUAUAGAGUAAAUCUUUGUGCUUCAAAGUGCUCUCUACCAUGAGAGCCAUGUGUGUGUAUUGCUGUUUUGUCUAUUCUAGCAUAUGGAAGUAUUUAUUGUUCUACACCCAAAUGUAUUAGUGAAAUGGGUAACAUGGCAAAUAAUUAUUCUAAUUUUAUUUUUUUAGUAUGUUUUCAUUUGUUCAUGUACUAAUUAAAAUUUCAAUUAAUGCAUCAAAAUUUGUAUUGAAUUAUCCCAAGUCAAAAUAUUAAACCACUUGCAUUCAAAAUAUUAAACCAAUUUCAAAUUUUCAACAACUAUCCAAUAUGAUGAUAAUCCCAACUAUUUGGAGCAUGAUGAGCAACAUUAGUUGAACAUGACUCAAUUUAUCUUCCCCACAACAUUCAUAUUUCCGAAAGCUCUAAUUAUUAUUAUCAAUCUCAACCAUUCUUAUUAAUGGUGGUUGGGUCUAACUCACUUCAAAAUUUGAGUGAGGAGAGUUGUCUAAGACUUAUAAAAUCUACCUUAUGUUAUUACUCAUGGGAUCUCAAUAAGAUUAUCACUUUUCACCAAUUGAACAUUUUCUAUUCCAAAAAGUGUAUCACUUUAUGUGUACAACUACUUAUAAUUGGUCAAAAAAUACUUAAUUUUUAAAAUUUUAAUUAUAAUACGUUUUUUCGACCAAUCUUCAUGUCACACUUUAUGGGAUAACAGAUGUACUUUUGCGAUAGGAGGCUAGGAUCUCUCAUAGUAGAAACAUUAAGCAAAAGCCCAAAAACUUGAAAAUGUACUUAAAUGGGCUAAAGCCCGUAGUUUGAAGCCCAUGGCCCAAGACAAUCCUUAUACCCUGAACAUGUGGUUUGGAAUCAUCAGCGACAAGCAGCCACCAUGAGCGCUUUGAAGGAGCUCCGUCGUCCCGUUGCAGCGACAAUCCGUCUCACCGUCCCAGCCGGAGGAGCUCGACCUGCUCCGCCGGUGGGACCGGCACUCGGUCAAUACCGUCUCAACCUAAUGGCGUUCUGCAAAGACUUCAACGCGCGAACACAGAAGUACAAACCUGAAACGCCGAUGGCAGUUAAGAUAACGGCGUUCAAGGAUAACACAUUCGAAUUCACCGUUAAGACGCCGUCGGUGGCUUGGUACCUGAAGAAAGCGGCGGGGGUGGAUUCAGGUAGCGGUAGGGCGGGUCACGUGACCGCGUCGACGCUGUCGGUGAGGCACGUGUAUGAGAUCGCGAAGGUAAAGCAAACUGAUCCUUAUUUGCAGAAUAUGAAUCUUGAAUCGAUUUGUAAGAACAUUAUUGGCACCGCUAAUAGCAUGGGGAUUCAGGUUGUUAAGGAUCUUGAUUAAUUCAUCAAAUUGAGUUGAGUCAUGGUUUUUUUUAAGUGUUUAUUUUAGUUUGUAUUUGAAUUGGAAUUUGAGAUUAAUGAAACUUUUGUUUUUGCACUAUGUGUAAUGAGUGACAUAGAAAUGCUAGAUUCUAUGAAAAUAAUAUGAACCCUAUGGUUGCACUUGGUUUUUGUUCUACCAAAGGUAUCCUUUCGUGCUGCAUGGUCCACCAAGUACUGCUCACAGGACUCGAAUAUUUGACUUACUUCCAGCAUUUGGUAGAACUUGUAGAAUAUAUGUUAUGUUUGGUUUAUUUUAUAAAUAGAAUAGUACAUGAGAUCAUAAAGUGAAACAUGUUAUCUAUGUCCCAGGAUAGAACAUUUCAUUCUGGUUUCUUUUGUUAGGAUGCCAAACACAGCCUUUGUGUUCAUUGAUGGUGUGUACUGUGUAGUGUUUCAUUCCUUGAAGCAGCUUCAACGCUUGUUGGAUAAGCUGUAUAUAUCUUACUAUCCCUAUAUACCACGAAGUCUCCUGUAAUGGGCUAACACUAUUCUAACCAAUGUUGGAACAUGAGGUGAGUAAAAGUUGAGAUUUUGCAUUUCAACUUGGUACAAAUCAUUUGAGUUUUGUUUAUGAAUGUUGAUAAUUAUAUAUGGUUUAUCUUUUUUAUAACAUUUCUCUGACAUUUUGGACCUUUUCUUAUUAUUGUUCUAAAGCAAGCAUGCAAUAUAUUAGAUUUAACUUUUAGUUGUUGCUCUCAACUUGGUGUACUGCAUUUAAGCAAAAAUAUUAGUUUGCGGGUUUUUUUUUGUGUGGUUAUUUUGUUUGCUUUUAGGAAUAGAAUGGCAAUUUGGAUAUAUUCAAAGUAUAAAAGUUCCACAUUGGAUAAGAUGAUACAAGUGAAAGAUAGGAGUUGCCUCCAUUGGCCAUGUCUUUGGUUCCUCCAUGACCAACCACUAUUGCCGCUAAUUGUAGAGAAUUAAUUUUACACCUUAGUUUUGUAAUCCAAUUCAUCAUCCAGUUUUGUAAUCCAACAUUUUUUCACUGAACGAAUGUUGAUGAGAUUAAGCUACACUAUUAAAACCGUGAUUCAAUAAUAAUGAUAUAGUUCUGUAUAGUAAAAUAUAAUGAUAUUUAGCUCUAGUUUUUUUCUCCCUAAGGGUUCAAUAAUAAUAAACAAGCAUAGAUAAAAUAAUAACUUAACAAAUGCUCAAGAUUGACAGCCAUUUUAAAAAUUAAGACUAUAUUUAAUGGUCUAAUUUAUAUUAAGACAUUUAAAUAAAUCACAAGACCUACUUCUAAAUAGGUCAUUGAACCUACUUUACGAAAUUUGACCAAUAAUGAAUUGCUAAAAAUGAAAAUAUCAUAGACUCCAAAGAUUCGAAAAAAUAUUAAAAAAUAGAUGACUGCACAAGUAUAACAUAUGGUUCUAUGAGUGUGGUAAAUGAAUUUCUUAAUUGUUUAAUUUAAGUCAAGCAAACAAUUUUCCAGGGAAAGUAAAAGUAUUAAGACAAUACUUUGCAUAUGAUGCUUCCGUAAUUCUUUGGAAAUGGGAACUCAGCAAAAUACAGCAUCUGCUUGAAGCCCUUGUGGGAAAAUAUACAGUGCUUAUUAUAUUUUAGCAUGGAUGGAGGAGGGAGAUUUGUUCUUUUUUUAUAUAUUACCAACAAUAUUUCUCACCUUUUUAAUGAUCUAAUCUUUUUCGGGUUUGCUCAUCCCAAUAAAUAUCGCUUACAGGAAUCGAACUAUUGACCUUUGGGAUCCAGUGAGACUUACAUUACUUGACUAAUAUCUUGUUGGUGGAAAAAAUUGUAUUUUUGAAGAUGAUAAAAAGGGACAAUAAUUUAUUUAUAGUAACAACAAUCAAAGUUUAAUCUUAUGAUCAAUUUAUUUAUAAGGUCAAAUUAAAUAGUUUAUAAUUUAUCCCAAAAUGAUUACAUACAAAAAAAAAGAACAAAAAAUACUUGCUUUUUCCCCCAGAAACUUGGAGUAGCUAUACCAAUCAAUCCAAUAACCCACUAUUUUGUGAAAGUCUUGAAAGAUUUAUCCAACACAGACUUUAUUCUUUAAAGAUGGAAAAUAUAUUUAGAGAGAAGGGACGUAAUUUUUAUGGAGAAUUUAUUUAUAGGAAGAAACAGAUUGUUAAGGAGAAAAUAAGUUUUUACUUUUUACAUAGAGAAACGUAAUUUUUCAAAGGCGAUGAACUUACUUUCAUACUAGUAUUGAGUGCGUGCCACCGAACGGGUUGAUUUUUUCCACAAUUGUUCCAUUGAUUACUCAUUAAUUACAAAAAUAUAUUAUAUAGGAAAUAUUCAUUUUAGUCUCCUAAAUUUUUCAACCUUAUAAAUUUGGUAUUCAAAUUUUGACAACUCAAAAUUGUUUCAUAAAUUUUAAAUGUGGGUCAAAUUAGUAAUUUUUAUCAUAUUUUAUAACAUCUAGUAUAGAUAAAUUUGACAUACAUUUUAAAUUUUUGGGAAUCAUUUUAGUUUUUCUCAAAGGAAUAAAAUCUAUAUGUUCGAAAAAUAUGAGAGACUGAAAUUAACAUUUACUCUCUAUUAUAAAAAUUUUCACCAAUGUUUUUUUUAACUAUUAAUGGAGUAUAAUAGUUUUGAAAAUAUUUUAUAUUUUUAAUGCCCGUGCCCUUUUAGUCUUAUAUUAUCAAAAAUUACGUUUUGGAAAUGAUUAAUGGUUUGAAGGAAUUUAUGUUUAAGUCAUUGUACAUGGUUAGCCCCAUGUUUUUAGGUAUUCAAAACCUAAUCAAGGAGAAUUGAGAUAAAUGUGUUUGAGUUUUGUGGUAAAUGUUAAGUACCAAAAAAGGUACAUGUUAGUAGAAAUAUAUUCAAAAUAUAUAAAAGGGAAUCAUAUUUUGAGAGGUGGAGCCAUAUGUUUUAGAGAGAAAUAUCCACCUAUUACCUUGAAUUGUGAAUGGAUGGUUCUAACUUCUAACUAAUGUUAAAGUUAGAUUAAACCUGAAACUGAAUUUCUUUUUAAUUUUGGUUAAAGUCAUUUAAUCAGUUAUAUGGUUCGAUUCAAGUUGAAACAAUCAAAAUUGACCCAAAACAGGUUAGACGUGAAUCAAAAGUUAAUCUAACAUAUGAUUCAGCAAAAUAUUAAAGAUUUUAUUUUUAUCAAAAUACAGUAAAUUAUAGGUGGCAAAUGAAUGAAUAUGAAUCAAUUUGAAUUUGGAUCAUAAUGGAUGGAUGAAAAUAACCUAUCCAUCCAUAAAAAUAUAUUUAAAUCAUAUUUUAAAUUAUUCAAUUCAUUCAUAUCUAGUUUUAAUAGAUAAAAUAUAAUCAUCUAUGAGUCCAUUUUCAUGGAUUUAAAUGGGUGAAUAUUCAAUAUAUUUGAUUUUUUUAAUCUAAAUUAAAAGCACUUUCCAAUAAAAUCAUUCUUUUAUAAACAACUAUUUUAAUAAACUGUUUUAAAAUCACUUUUUUAAAUGUAAUUUUUUUAAAAAGUGUUUUUUUAUUUUCUUAAUUUUUUUAGAAAGUGAUUUUUUAAACUUUAAAAAAAAAAGUUAACUCUUCUCAAUAUUCUACGAGCAUAAAAACAUUUAAUGUUCUACAUAUAAUACUUUUAAUAGAUACUUAUAUAUCUUAUGUAUUUAAAAACACACUUUUAGUAUUGACCACAUCCAUAUUCCCUAGAUCUCAAUUUAAUAAAAAAUUAAUCAAAGUGAUAGUGAGAAAAAGAAAGUGAGAAUUGAUACAAGUGAAUGAAAUUGAAAAACAAAGAACCCUAUUUAUGAAUGUUUGUUUUUUGAUAGGUUGAAUAUUCACCCAAAUAUAUCCAUUAGAUAUAAUGGGUGUAUUUAAAUUCAUCCAUUUCUAAAACUUUUUAUUAGAUUAUAUUUAUUUAAAUCCACUAACUUUAAUAAAUAGAUUUUGAUCGAUUUAAUUUUCUUAGAUUUGAAUAGAUUGUGGAUAAUUUUAACAUUUAUGUAAGACUGAGAUUGCAACUAAGAGAGGGUGAAUUAGUUGACUUAAAAUAAUGACUACUUUUUCUGCAAAACCGAGAGUUAAAGUGCAGCGGAAAAUAUAUGCAAAAAAUUAAUAAGUAAAAUCAAAUAGAUAAGGGAGAAGAGAGUACACAAAAUUUUUUAUACUGGUUCAUCUUCUUGUCCACCGAAGGCUACGUCCAGUACUCUUGCGGCAUAAGAGAUUUUUCCACUAAAGAUUAUGAGUUACAAUUACAAUAUCUCACCCCGAGAUUUCUAUGUACCUUACACACUCCUUAAUCAUUAUUCACUUUUGGAAAACACAUUUUCAAGUGAUUCUAAUCCCCUUUCUUAUCACAUCUCGUGAAAGAAAGUAUUAUGCAAUAAUAAUGAAAAAAUGUGCAACAAUGGUGGAAUUGCCUUUUACAAGUAUGAAAGUGAUGUAACUUGCAAUCCAAACAACUUUUUAAUAUACUUAGUAAUAAUGUUCUUUAUAAGUUUGUAAACUUGAAACACUUUCACUUUAAGCAACUUCAUAAAAAACACCUUCGAAAGUUUAAGAACUUGUUGCAAAAAGUGCAGAAAAUAAUUUCAGAAUAUGUGUAAGAGCUUUUGAAAUUUAUAUGAGAGUUGUGUAUAUAUUGUGAGUAGUGAUUGUGAGUUCCAAUGCCUUUAUAUAGAACUUCCAAUCAGCCAAAAUGUCUCUUUGAAAAGGUAGGAAUUGAUUGGAAUGAAAACAUGUAUUUUGGAUUGAAACUCAUCAUUCACUUUGAAUUUGAAAAUCUGAUGCAACAACUCUCAAUAAUCGAAUAUAGCAUUGAGUAAUUGAUUACUCAAGGUUUCUGUCCACUAAUCAUUUAUUGUUAAAUUAGAGUAAUCGAUUACAGCAAGUUGAGUAAUUGGUUACUCAACUUUAAUAACACUAGUAAUUUGUUACUCAAAUACAAUAAUGGAUGAUUUUGAUCAGUUUUAAGUUGGAUAACUCUUUUCUCACACUUGUAAUUUGUUACUUAGAUGAAGUAAUCUGUUACACACUAUUUUUGAAAAUUGUUUUAAAUAUUUUAAAGUGUUUCAAUUUUCUUAAAAAAUAGUUUGAGCAUUACUACUAUUGUAUAACUAAGAGUAUAGGAUAAAAAAACCUAUUUAGACUUAGACUAAAAGGUCUUGAAUAUCUUGAAGCUUGAUUCUUCAUUGUCUUUGUAAGUAUUCUUCCUUUUCUUCUUUUUGGUGAUUUUGAUGUCUUCAUCGAAACCAUACCAAGGUCAGUAGCAAGGUCACAAAAAAUCAAAUUUAGAUUUUUGCUUUCUUAAUUGAAAAUCAUAUCACAAGAAAUUAUGAAUUAUUUUAAAAAUUAGUUUAUCUAAUAAAUAAUUAUCUUUUGAGUUAUGAAUGUAAAUUGUAAACUUAUAUUUUAGACGUAAUAGUUGGUUGUUGACUACUUACUUUGAAACCCCAUUAUUGAAGUUGAUUUAAUUUAUAAUGGGAAGACUUUUUUGUUACAACAAAUUUGAAGACUUUAAUCUUCAUUAUCUUAUCAUACAUGCUAUCAGUUGUCUAUUUUGAUCUAGUAUCUUUUUAUAUUUGGGCUUUGGCACCUUUCCUUUCUCCAAAGAAACUAUAAUCCCUAACCACCAAAACAGAAAGUUUCAAAAAAAGAAAACCCUAACUAUUUCUCUCCCUAUAAAUACAAUUGCCAAGAAAGUUAUUUGCAUUAAGAAAAGUUACAUACUCUUCUCUUCAACCUCUCUCUAUUUUGUGAUCAACAUACAAUAUUCUCUUCUCUUCUUCAAUGGCUGGUCUUCAACAAUAUAACUUUUUCCCCACUGAUCUCUUCUACCCUCGUCCUAAACCACAACCUUCUUCUAAUCCAACGGUGGUGAUUCCUUUGCAAAACCCUAAUACUAAUGAAGACAAGAAUCAACAGCAACAACCACUACCUAGGAGCAUGUUUAAAGUUACCCCUUCUAGUUCUCCUCUUGUUUAUAUUCACAAGAGACAACAAUCUCUUACUAGGGUUCAUAACAAGGUAUCUAAAUUCCCACCUUCUUGGGUUGUUUUUAUGGAUCAAGAACAGGACUCAAAACCUUUUUGAAUUGUUCUUCUUCCUCAAAGGAAUGAGUGAAGGACAUAUUCAUGGAUAUAUAUAUAUAUAUAUAUAUAUAUAUAUAUAUAUAUAUUAUAUAGUUUGUAAAUUAUCUUAGGG
rnacentral:lncRNA from 1 species